GGCCGAAGAAACCACAAAACACAAUAUCAGCAUGUCCACGUUGCUAUGCCCGCAGGCAAGGCCAGUCUAAUUCACAAAGAUCAUGAGCAGACUUGCCAUCAUUGUCUUUCAAACUGGCGUCUGCAUUUUGCUUAACAAGAAAUUCUGCAAUGGCUUCUCUCUCACAGACAGCAGCAUAAUGCAAAGGUGUUUGGCCUUCAUUAUCCUUUGCAUUUAUAUCAGAAUUCCUUUCAACAAGAACUUCCACCACGUUAAGAUGGCCACGAUCUACAGCCCAGUGCAAUGGGGUCCGACCCUCACUAUCUUUCAGGUUUGCAGAAACACCAGUCUCUAUACAUUUGAGCAAAUUCUUCAAAUCUCCUUCUCUGGCAAAGGCAUGAAUGGCAUCCAUUUUCAAUUCAUUUCCAGAUUCCUCCUCAUACACAUAAGUGCUGAAAACUGGACCCAUGGGCCCUUUGGCAUCCAUACUUUGUGCAUCACCAUCUCCACCUUUCCUUUUCAUGGCUGAACCAGAAGCCCAAGAAGGAUAUAAUUCUGUAACAAUAUCAAUGUACUUUUGCAUUGCAUCCUCUGGAGGCAUAGCACCGAGUUUCUGCCAUGCUUGCCACUUGGCACGAGCACUAAUUUUGAUGGCGGAAGGAGGGGGAGUACUGCAAGGUCCUUCGGUGGCAAUCUUGUACAAGCCGUAAAGCUGCA
rnacentral:misc_RNA from 1 species